AUUGAACGCUGGCGGCAUGCCUUACACAUGCAAGUCGAACGGCAGCACGGGUGCUUGCACCUGGUGGCGAGUGGCGAACGGGUGGGUAAUACAUCGGAACGUACCUUAUCGUGGGGGAUAACGCAGCGAAAGCUGUGCUAAUACCGCAUACGCCCUGAGGGGGAAAGCGGGGGAUCGCAAGACCUCGCGCGAUUAGAGCGGCCGACGCCUGAUUAGCUUGUUGGUGGGGUAAAAGCCCACCAAGGCGACGAUCAGUAGCUGGUCUGAGAGGACGAUCAGCCACACUGGGACUGAGACACGGCCCAGACUCCUACGGGAGGCAGCAGUGGGGAAUUUUGGACAAGGGGGGCAACCCUGAUCCAGCAAUGCCGCGUGAGUGAAGAAGGCCUUCGGGUUGUAAAGCUCUUUUGUCAGGGAAGAAACACCGGCUCUAACACAGUCCGGGAAUGACGGUACCUGAAGAAUAAGCACCGGCUAACUACGUGCCAGCAGCCGCGGUAA
rnacentral:rRNA from 1 species